UACGAGGGGGGCUAGCGUUGCUCGGAAUCACUGGGCGUAAAGGGUGCGUAGGCGGGUCUUUAAGUCAGGGGUGAAAUCCUGGAGCUCAACUCCAGAACUGCCUUUGAUACUGAGGAUCUUGAGUUCGGGAGAGGUGAGUGGAACUGCGAGUGUAGAGGUGAAAUUCGUAGAUAUUCGCAAGAACACCAGUGGCGAAGGCGGCUCACUGGCCCGAUACUGACGCUGAGGCACGAAAGCGUGGGGAGCAAACAGG
rnacentral:rRNA from 1 species